CACAUGCAAGUCGAACGGUAACAUGAGAGCUUGCUCUUGAUGACGAGUGGCGCACGGGUGCGUAACGCGUAUACAAUCUACCUUUUACUGGGAGAUAGCCUUUAGAAAUGAAGAUUAAUAUCCCAUAGUAUAAUGAUAUGGCAUCAUAUUAUUAUUAAAGUUUCGGCGGUAAAAGAUGAGUAUGCGUUCUAUUAGCUAGAUGGUGUGGUAACGGCACACCAUGGCAACGAUAGAUAGGGGCCCUGAGAGGGGGAUCCCCCACACUGGUACUGAGACACGGACCAGACUCCUACGGGAGGCAGCAGUGAGGAAUAUUGGACAAUGGGCGCAAGCCUGAUCCAGCCAUGCCGCGUGCAGGAAGACGGCCCUAUGGGUUGUAAACUGCUUUUAUACAGGAAGAAACACUCCCUCGUGAGGGAGCUUGACGGUACUGUAAGAAUAAGGACCGGCUAACUCCGUGCCAGCAGCCGCGGUAAUACGGAGGGUCCGAGCGUUAUCCGGAAUCAUUGGGUUUAAAGGGUCCGUAGGUGGAUAAUUAAGUCAGAGGUGAAAUCCUGCAGCUCAACUGUAGAAUUGCCUUUGAAACUGGUUAUCUUGAGUUAUUAUGAAGUAGUUAGAAUAUGUAGUGUAGCGGUGAAAUGCAUAGAUAUUACAUAGAAUACCAAUUGCGAAGGCAGAUUACUAAUAAUUAACUGACACUGAUGGACGAAAGCGUGGGGAGCGAACAGGAUUAGAUACCCUGGUAGUCCACGCCGUAAACGAUGGUUACUAGCUGUUCGGACUUCGGUCUGAGUGGCUAAGCGAAAGUGAUAAGUAACCCACCUGGGGAGUACGUUCGCAAGAAUGAAACUCAAAGGAAUUGACGGGGGCCCGCACAAGCGGUGGAGCAUGUGGUUUAAUUCGAUGAUACGCGAGGAACCUUACCAGGGCUUAAAUGUAGAUUGACAGGACUAGAGAUAGUUUUUCCUUCGGGCAAUUUACAAGGUGCUGCAUGGUUGUCGUCAGCUCGUGCCGUGAGGUGUCA
rnacentral:rRNA from 1 species